UUCCCCCUGAAGUUAGCCAGUGGCAAUACUUUCAUUAACUUUGGGGAGAGCCAGAUUUUAUUUGCCUGCCUGUAGUGCUUCUCUGUGCCUUAUAGUGGGCUUCAAAGGGUAACAAUCAAUUGUGGAGGACAUUUGCAGCUGAGUCACUUCUAGCAAGGGCAAAAGGUAAGGUAAACAGAAGAAGAGAUCCUUAUAUCUGUAUAAGCUCUUCAAAAGUGAUUCCUGAAAUCAGCCUGGGAAACAGCACCCUUUCCCGGCACAGAAGCAAGCAGGGACAGAAAGGACAGAAAGUUCAGUCCUCUGCAAGGCUGUAAUCCUGUCCUGCUUCUUCCCAUCUUCUUAUCUCAUCCCCUGGUUCCCCCAAAGCCUCUCCAAUAAACCUUCUACACUGGGACUCA
rnacentral:lncRNA from 1 species